rnacentral:tRNA from 1 species
UGGAGGAGUACUAAGAGGCUGAAGGGGGCGCACUCGAAAUGCGUUAGGGGUUAACCGCCAUGCGUGGGUUCAAAUCUCACCUUCUCCGU